rnacentral:rRNA from 1 species
GGGGGCGCUUGCGCUCUCGCUAUUGGAUGAGCCUAAGUCGGAUUAGCUAGUUGGUGGGGUAAAGGCCUACCAAGGCGACGAUCUGUAGCUGGUCUGAGAGGAUGAUCAGCCACACCGGGACUGAGACACGGCCCGGACUCCUACGGGAGGCAGCAGUGGGGAAUAUUGGACAAUGGGGGCAACCCUGAUCCAGCCAUGCCGCGUGGGUGAAGAAGGCCUUCGGGUUGUAAAGCCCUUUUGUUGGGAAAGAAAUCCAGCUGGCUAAUACCCGGUUGGGAUGACGGUACCCAAAGAAUAAGCACCGGCUAACUUCGUGCCAGCAGCCGCGGUAAUACGAAGGGUGCAAGCGUUACUCGGAAUUACUGGGCGUAAAGCGUGCGUAGGUGGUCGUUUAAGUCCGUUGUGAAAGCCCUGGGCUCAACCUGGGAACUGCAGUGGAUACUGGGCGACUAGAGUGUGGUAGAG